rnacentral:rRNA from 1 species
CCUUUGUACACACCGCCCGUCGCUAGUACCGAUUGAAUGGCUUAGUGAGACCUCCGGAUUGGCGUCUCAUAGGGGGCAACCUCUUAGAGAUGCUGAGAAGUUGGUCAAACUUGGUCAUUUAGAGG